rnacentral:rRNA from 1 species
AUUGAACGCUGGCGGCAUGCCUUACACAUGCAAGUCGAACGGUAACGGGCCUUCGGGUGCCGACGAGNGGCGAACGGGUGAGUAAUGUAUCGGAACGUACCUUUCAGUGGGGGAUAACGUAGCGAAAGUUACGCUAAUACCGCAUAUUCUGUGCGCAGGAAAGCAGGGGAUCGCAAGACCUUGCGCUGAUUGAGCGGCCGAUAUCAGAUUAGCUAGUUGGUGAGGUAAAGGCUCACCAAGGCGACGAUCUGUAGCGGGUCUGAGAGGAUGAUCCGCCACACUGGAACUGAGACACGGUCCAGACUCCUACGGGAGGCAGCAGUGGGGAAUUUUGGACAAUGGGGGCAACCCUGAUCCAGCCAUGCCGCGUGAGUGAAGAAGGCCUCGGUUGUAACGUAGACUUUGUUACGGGUAGAAACGAA